rnacentral:rRNA from 1 species
ACGCUCGGCGGCGUGCCUAAUACAUGCAAGUAGAACGCUGAAGAGAGGAGCUUGCUCUUCUUGGAUGAGUUGCGAACGGGUGAGUAACGCGUAGGUAACCUGCCUUGUAGCGGGGGAUAACUAUUGGAAACGAUAGCUAAUACCGCAUAACAAUGGAUGACCCAUGUCAUUUAUUUGAAAGGGGCAAAUGCUCCACUACAAGAUGGACCUGCGUUGUAUUAGCUAGUAGGUGAGGUAACGGCUCACCUAGGCGACGAUACAUAGCCGACCUGAGAGGGUGAUCGGCCACACUGGGACUGAGACACGGCCCAGACUCCUACGGGAGGCAGCAGUAGGGAAUCUUCGGCAAUGGGGGCAACCCUGACCGAGCAACGCCGCGUGAGUGAAGAAGGUUUUCGGAUCGUAAAGCUCUGUUGUAAGUCAAGAACGAGUGUGAGAGUGGAAAGUUCACACUGUGACGGUAGCUUACCAGAAAGGGACGGCUAACUACGUGCCAGCAGCCGCGGUAAUACGUAGGUCCCGAGCGUUGUCCGGAUUUAUUGGGCGUAAAGCGAGCGCAGGCGGUUUGAUAAGUCUGAAGUUAAAGGCUGUGGCUCAACCAUAGUUCGCUUUGGAAACUGUCAAACUUGAGUGCAGAAGGGGAGAGUGGAAUUCCAUGUGUAGCGGUGAAAUGCGUAGAUAUAUGGAGGAACACCGGUGGCGAAAGCGGCUCUCUGGUCUGUAACUGACGCUGAGGUUCGAAAGCGUGGGGAGCGAACAGGAUUAGAUACCCUGGUAGUCCACGCCGUAAACGAUGAGUGCUAGGUGUUGGAUCCUUUCCGGGAUUCAGUGCCGCAGCUAACGCAUUAAGCACUCCGCCUGGGGAGUACGACCGCAAGGUUGAAACUCAAAGGAAUUGACGGGGGCCCGCACAAGCGGUGGAGCAUGUGGUUUAAUUCGAAGCAACGCGAAGAACCUUACCAGGUCUUGACAUCCCGAUGCUAUUUCUAGAGAUAGAAAGUUACUUCGGUACAUCGGUGACAGGUGGUGCAUGGUUGUCGUCAGCUCGUGUCGUGAGAUGUUGGGUUAAGUCCCGCAACGAGCGCAACCCCUAUUGUUAGUUGCCAUCAUUCAGUUGGGCACUCUAGCGAGACUGCCGGUAAUAAACCGGAGGAAGGUGGGGAUGACGUCAAAUCAUCAUGCCCCUUAUGACCUGGGCUACACACGUGCUACAAUGGUUGGUACAACGAGUUGCGAGUCGGUGACGGCAAGCUAAUCUCUUAAAGCCAAUCUCAGUUCGGAUUGUAGGCUGCAACUCGCCUACAUGAAGUCGGAAUCGCUAGUAAUCGCGGAUCAGCACGCCGCGGUGAAUACGUUCCCGGGCCUUGUACACACCGCCCGUCACACCACGAGAGUUUGUAACACCCGAAGUCGGUGAGGUAACCUUUUGGAGCCAGCCGCCUAAGGUGGGAUAGAUGAUUGGGGUG